UCUUACCCAAGGUGGGAACAGCAAGCAGUGGAUUGAAAGGGCUGGGACCCUGGACCCAGGCUUGUUCUUGGAUCACAGAAACCUAGAAUGAAAUCUGUGCUGCCUGCUACAACCUGUGGCUUUGGAUUUUCUCGAGGCCCCAGAGCGUCAGAGGAAGUUUUCCGAAUGGCACUCUGCGUGGGAAGGAGCUUGUGCACGUGCACGCUGCCACCAUCUGCCCUCAGCGCUGAUUCAGGAGGCGCUUCUCAACUAUAGCCCACAGUGUGACAACUGAACGUGUCCCCUCACGUUUCCAAAUACGGGGGGUGCAGGAGGCACUGCUCACUGUUGCACCCCCUGACCCACGCUGCCAGUCCUGCCCUCACUGCUGGGUGCUCACUGGGACCCUGGAAAGGUCUAGCUGAGCCUUUUAGGGCAUGAGGAUGUUGGGAGAAUAGAGGUGGCUCCUCUGAGAAGCCUGAGAAGUGUGAGUGUAUAAAUGCAGGCUGAGGUCGUGUCUCCCUGGGAUUGAAUUCACCCAACCUCACCCUCCGUGUAGCGCAAAUGCCCAGCUCCUCCAGGGAAGUGUUCAUGGCCAGAGUCCCAUGUUCCCUGCCAUCAGCAAGGCCCUGGCGCCAUUACUUACAGGAUAUGGCACCUCCCCCAACACCAGUGACCAUCAUCUCUCUCCUCCUCCUCCUUCUUUCCCCUCCUUCCUUCCCCUCCUCCUCCUCCUCCUCUUCUUCUUCACUAGAUACACUUGUUAUAUCUCCCAAUGGGACAAAAAUAGUCUCAUCAUUAUCAUGUGCCUCCUUCUCCUCCCUGUCUUCCUCAGAGGUUGAUACGUGAUUGACACGGUUUGGCUCUCCCUGAAAUGGUUUGGCUGUAUCCCCACCCAAAUCUUACCUUGAAUUAUAAUAAUCCCCAUGUAUCAAGGGUGGUACCAGGUGAAGGCAACUGAAUCAUGGGGGGCAAUUACCCCCAUGCUGCUGUUCUCGUGAUAAUGAGUGAGUUCUCAUGAGAUCUGAUGAUUUUAUAAGCGACAUUUCCCCCUUUGCUCAGCACUUCUCCUUCCUGCCACCAUGUGAAGAAGGACAUGUUUGCUUCCCCUUCCAUCAUGAUUGUAAGUUUCCUGAGGCCUCCCCAGCCCUGUAGACCUGUGAGUCAAUUGAACCUCUUUCCUUUAUAAAUUGCUCAGUCUUGGGCAGUUCUUUGUAGCAGCUUGAGAAUGGACUAAUACAGUGAUAAAAUAUAAAUUGGAAUUUUCAGUGUGCUCACACCAUAAGGAAGAGAACAGUGUCAUUUCUGGGUCAGAAAAUGUGACCACCAUAGAAUUUUCUCAUAUCUAGAACUGUCCGGUAUUUAUAGCUCAGGAUGCUGGUACAACUUUCUGAGAUAGAGAAUUAUAUCCUCACAUAGAAGCUGCUGUGUGGCCCUCCUUACCCUUGGUCACUCAUGGUUGGGUGAACGGACCCAAAGACAGAGACCAAAAAAUCAAAUUCUUGGAUUUUCAGUUCUGAAUAGACACUUGAAACUCAAAGGCCAUGGCCUUGUAAGCCCAGACUCUAAUUUGUAAAAGUUGAGGGUUUUCAGAGAAGAAAAGAACCAGGGCUCCCUGCCAGGUGUCGCACCCUGGGCCUCACGGAGGCCUCCUCUUUCAUCACAUGGCACAGUGACAUUUCUGCUGAAAACAGAAAAGGCUUCCUUCCUAGGACCUACCGUCUCUACUCUUCCACCUUUCUUUUCUCCAUUUCUUUCACCUGAAGGCUUCACCACCAAAGGUUGGAACAUUUUCCUGCUAUUUCAUUACACUUGAGAUUCCAGGCAAAGAAAUUCCGAGUUCAAACAGCAAGGUAAUGCCAUGAAUAAUAAAACGUGUCAAGCUUUUCUGGCAUAGGAACAAGAACGUGAUAUAGACACACACUACCUAAUAGAAGAGAAGGCCCAAUUUCAACCACAUAAAGGGUUCAAGAAGUUCUGUGUUGGUUCCUCCUUCACAUAAAAUAAACACUGGAGAUUCCAGGGACAGAAGAGCAGGGAGCUGCAGAUGCGCUGAGGAUUUCAUUGCCAUCUAGUGUAAAACCCCGCUAUGAACAUUACCAUCACUGAUUUUUACGUUAUUAAGAGAUGGGCCCUUUUAUUGCACUGGUGUCAUGAAAACAACAAAAUCCCACAUGAAGUUAGGCACAACUCAGGACUGCCCUUUUGCAGAACAUGGCUUUUUAGUUAUAGGAUUCUCCAAGGUGGUCUCACAAGUUUCUAAUGAAUUGGGUUGGGAAGCUACUGCUUUAGAAGGCAGAAGCAGUUUCAAGAGUGUGCUCUGGGUAUAAAAGUCAUGGGUGCAGAAGGAUAUCAGCCCCUUCCUAGGUAAUUCCAUCUCUGCUCACUAGUCCUGAGUCUGAGAAAUUGUCAUCAUAAAUUAGGCAGACAGGACUGCCAGAAGCCAAUCCAGAACAUGAAUUUAUAACCCAGGGCUAUUGUAUAGCUUCCUGUGACCUCUUACACGGAGCCUCCCUCUGUCUUCAGGAUCAGGCCAACCUUAGAAUCUCUGACUACUAGAGGCUUGACUUGCAGUGAAACCCGUCCUAAUUGAUGAAGAUCCUGUAUCGAGUUAGAGAAAUGGAAGAAACGACGCGGGGGUCUGGUUUGCCAGCCAACAGCUGUGGCUUAAAUCUGAGUCCUUUGGAAAGAAAGGAAGGCAUUCCUUUUAUUUCUAAUAUGGCUAAGGUGCAACAGAACCCCUGAAAUUUACCUGGCUGUGUAGCUGCCCAAAAUAAAGACUUUCCUUUCCCACCACCCCUGCAGCUCCAUGUGGUGUGUGGGCAAAUCCUGGCUGAUGGGAUGUGGGUAGAAGAGACGUGUGCUCAGGAAGAUGGCCCACGCAGGGAAGGAGCAGGUCUUGCGCUCCUCUCCAUCCCACUUGCCAGAAAAUUGCUGCAGUGGACACUGUGGCACUAUAGGUUCUGUGGACGCCACGGGCAUGGUGGUGAGCACCUUCAGCUGCAUGGAAGAGGUGUCAUUUCAGGGCGGUUCUGCACACAAUCUGCCCUGCACACAGGAGCUACUGUAUGAACCUCGCUCCCAGUGUGUGAGGAGAGAAGGACAGAAAUUGGGUCAGCUUUGAUAAACUUUCAUAGUACCUUGAUAUUGCCUUGACCUUCAAGCACAUGAUCUGUGGACCCACCUCAAUAUAUUGACCAGGCCUGGGCAUGAGUCAGGCACUUUUUAAGCCCAAUAAAGCUACAUAGGGGUCUGAGAUCGAUUGGAAAUUUAAAUGAUACUAGAAAUAAUGACAGUCGUACUCCAGAUUGUGUGAGAAACACAUCUGUAAGGGACGGCAGAGUCACGGAGAAAAGGAGGCAGGGCCUGGGUACCAUGGAACCAGCCGAACAGCCCCACCACGAAUCCUCCUACCUUUAGAGAAGAGAGAAACUCUUCCCUGGUUUAAGCUGUCAUAUUUGGGGGCCCAUUUGUUUCUCAGCCUAAGCUGUACCCCGUCGGGUGUGCCUAUAUGUGAAUAGCGUGUGGGCUCAGCUGAUGGACCAGACAUUCCAUGUACUGGCGCAUAACAUUCUGACUCGCGUGCAGUAAGAACAAAAGGAAAUACAGCCCAAUUUGGUAAAAUUCUCUCACAGCCUGGAAAAGAGCAUCCCGAACAGUGGAGAGGAAGAGGGAGUGAGGCCCUGUGGACACAGCAGAGGAAUCCACAAUGGAUUUGCAGCAGGCUGGUGGAGGCAGAGCAGAGAAGGGCGGGAGAGGGCCAGCGAAGGCCUGGGAAGGUGGACCCACAAACUCGUCUCCUAAUGAAGCUAACCAGCAAUGCGAGGGCACACAGGGAGACCCCCUAGAGGCUGCCCCAGGCCAGGAGUCACCUGUGAACUGAGGUGGCCAAGGCAGGUUCUGUGGCAGAGGGUGAAUGCCUGCAGAUGAGAACCAGCCGCGGUGCCCAGAAAGGAACAGUGUGCGGGCCUGACGGGAGCCCCCAUCAAUACAACCAGCUCCUGCUCAGAACUCUCUUCAGGCAGACAAAUAGAAGAUAUGUUUCUACUUCCCCAGGCCUCAGCACCAUGACUAUUCUAGUCCCAGUGGAUACCCUGCUUCAGGUUUUAUGCAGCUGAGUUGAAAAAGAAUAACAGAAUAGGAGGAAAACAAGGGGAAGAAGGUAGGUGGGACGCCCCAAAUCAUCUUGAGUGCACUCCAUAAAAGAAAGAGGCAUUAAAGCAGCCCCCUCUCCUAUCUCAAGCCAUCCUUCAACUUAUAGGGACUUUGCACAUAGUUGCUGCAGGUUGGCCUGCCUCUGUCAGAGGUGUUUAAACCAGAUUGACUCUCUCUUGUAUAGGGGCUGGGUAAAAUGAGGCUGAGACCUACUGGGCUGCAUUCUCAGGAGAUUAGGCAUUCUAAGUCACAGGAUGAGAUAGGAGGUCGGCACAAGAUACAGAUCACAAAGACCUUGCUGAUAAAACAGGUUGCAGUAAAGAAGCCGGCCAAAACCCACCAAAACCAAGAUGGUGACGAGAGUGACUCUGGUCGUCCUCACUGCUACACUCCCAUCAGCGCCAUGACAGUUUACAGAUGCCAUAGCAACGUCUGGAAGUUACCUGUACGGUCUAUAAAGGGGAGGCAUGAAUAAUCCACCCCUUGUUUAGCAUAUCAUCAAGAAAUAACCAUAAAAAUGGGCAACCAGGAGCCCUUGGGGCUCCUCUGCCUAUGGAGUGGCCAUUCUUUUAUUCCUUUACUUUCUCAAUAAACUUGCUUUCACUUUAUUCUAUGGACUCGCCCCGAAUUCUUUCUUGUGAGAGAUCCAAGAACCCUCUAUUGGGGUGUGGAUCAGGACCCCUUUCCAGUAACACCCCUAUUGUGAGAAGAUGCCUUAAAUGGCUGGAGUUCUGGUGCUGAGCUGUGUUUUCACUCUGGGUAGUUUGUUGUUAGCUUUUUUAACAGCUUAAUUGAGAUAUAGGUAAGAUAUAGUUCACUAGUUAAGAUACAGUUCCGUUCUGGUGUUGCUGUAAAGGAAUACCUGAGGCUGGGAAACUUACAAGAAAAGAGGAUUGUUUGGCUCAUGGUUCUGCAGGCUGUACCAGAAGCAUGGCACCAGCAUCUGCUUCUGGUGAGGCCUCAGGAAGCUUCCAAUCAUGACAGAAGGCCAGGGGGAAGCAGGCAGAAGUGUUAG
rnacentral:lncRNA from 10 species